GAAAGCAUAACUUAAAGACAUUUGAAAUCGAACAGGAUUUAACAUAACUUUGGGGCCUUUUCUACACCAACUUUAAGUCUAAAAGGUCACGAUCUGUCUGCCGGCCCUCUGCAUGCCUCGACUCCUUGACCUCAGACGUGGACAUGGUUUUCUUCUUCACUCCUGUCUACUCUGCUAAGUUGCUGUACUUGGAUUGUUGUGGUCACUUAUAUUGGCUCAGGGACUUAUCUUUUUUUGGAAGAUUUCUGUUCUGGCUUGAAGCCCUUUCAGAUGAUGGAGGGCAGUCGCAUGCCGCAGCGUCUCUUAUUUCCCAUAAGACGGCAGCUGGGGGAGGAAGACGGAUACUCUCACAUGGCUAAUAAAAGUGCUGGAAAGCACUCAAUUUCCUGCUACUGAAUCUUGUGAAUGGAGGAAUCCCACUGAGGACAAGCUGCUUCGUCUGUGACUGGAAUAGGACUUACGCACAGUACAUACAUAGUUUUAUCAGUCGUCAUGCUGAGAAAGUAUUUCAUCUGAUGUGUACCCAUUAUGUGAUCCAUAUAUGGACACACUGUGAUGAAAAAUGUACUCUGUUUUUGUUUAUUCUCAGAAUAGAUCAUAUCUUGCUGGCUCUUGACUGCACGGGUAAUGUAACACUGGUGAGGACAUUUUUGAGAGCAAAGAGAUUGACAAGAGCAGAUAACACUCUACAUCACACUAUUGAUAGUGUCAUAGUUGUAGUGUGGACAUCAGCCAUGUAAAUGCUGGUAUAUUUAAUGACUAUUCAAAAUCACAGUCUGCAUUACAUGGACUGUUUUAUUCCCAUUUUUAUUCCUUGGCUUUCAACCCCGCAUGAGACUCUGCUCCUGUUUUAGUGUUUUAUGGUUUGUUUUUAUUUAUU